AGUAUUGAGUGGCGCAGUAUUCUAGUCAGUCGAUGCAGACGUGAAGGCGGGGGUAAAAGACCGUCGCAGGGCAUAUCUAUGAAGUUUCUGGUUUCUGCUUGCUUUGCCCAAAAGCGGGUGGUUGCUGGGAGUAAAGGUUUAUGGGAACUGCAUAACGGCAUAUGACAGCCAACCCAUUCACCGCGGAGGCCGCAUUUUUUGCGGAUAAACCUGCUGCCGGGCGCAAGCUCGGCACAGAGUAGCCUGCCUUGAGUGAUGCCGGCGGAUAGCGGAACAGGCGCAUGCGGUGCGGCCACACCGUGCGCAGCCAUUGCCGUUUGAAAUCGGUUUUGCAAAAGAGGAUAAACCCUGCGUCAGCUGUCAAGGAAAGCUUCUAGACUGUCAAUAUAUUAGAGAUUACGGUGUGGACUCAGUGGCGAUUCGGUUGCGUAAAAGGAAACUUUACGACCGCGCCCUUAAAAGGAAACUGCUUCUUCGGCGACGGGAAGCGGGCGCGCGGGGAAAUCCUACCGAACCUUAAGCCGCAAAGUUUAUUUAAUAUAAGCCACUACAUAUUUA
rnacentral:sRNA from 1 species